rnacentral:rRNA from 1 species
UACGUUGGUGGCAAGCGUUGUCCGGAAUUAUUGGGCGUAAAGCGCGCGCAGGCGGUCCUUUAAGUCUGACGUGAAAGCCCACGGCUCAACCGUGGAGGGUCAUUGGAAACUGGAGGACUUGAGUACAGAAGAGGAAAGCGGAAUUCCACGUGUAGCGGUGAAAUGCGUAGAGAUGUGGAGGAACACCAGUGGCGAAGGCGGCUUUCUGGUCUGUAACUGACGCUGAGGCGCGAAAGCGUGGGGAGCAAACAGG